CGUCCCAGCCACCUGCGCCGCGCCGUGAGGGCUCUGCCGGGCGGGGACUGCGGCUCGCAGCCUCCCGGGUGCGCGUGUCCCGGUCGCUCAGCUUCCCCUUUUGGACAAUGCGGCACGAGAGAAAGAAAAAGAAAACACAGGCGCUAAAAGACAGUGCAAGAACUGGCGUCAGUGCGCACUUCGCUUCGGGCGGGCAGGCAGCGGGCGGGGAGUAUGGCAGUUCGGGCGCCCAGCGGGCCGGCUGCGCGCUUGCACGUUGCCUGGCUGGCUAUGCUGCCGCGGGCGGGGGAAAGCCGGGGCUGGGGCGAGGAGACUGGCGUCCCGGCGGGGUCGGGACUCGCAGGCGCUGCCUGCGAGUGCCGUGGGCCAGCAGAGCAAGGCGGGAGCGUUAGCCUUCCGGCACCGGGCUGGCGGGCGGUGGUGUUCGUUUUCGGGACUUGCGGCCGUCCCCGCGGCAGGGGCGCUUUCGCGCCGAGGCUCUCUGUGUGCUUUUUUGUUUUGUUGUGUUUGUUUUUUGUGGGUUUCUUUGCGGGAUUCCCGCGAAACGCGGCACGACCGCUCGCCCGGGGCGCCGCGGCGGGUCUCAGUGCCGCCGUCCUGUGGGCAAAGCGCGGUGCUGCACUGAGCGUGCGUCUGUCAGACGGCUGCUUUACGUUGACGAGUUCACAGCCGUGCAAUGGUAAGGGCGAAGGGCAACGCAAGACAGAAGGGUUUUUCUGCUGCGGGUAACCAGCUGCCCCCCUUUUCCGCGUAAAGCAGAGGAGCGCGGUUCGUUGUCGCCUUUUAAACGCGGCGGCGGCAAGCCGCGCGGCCGAAGGGAGCGGGGGGGGGGGGGGUGGUCCCGGUAGGGCGGCGAGCCGGCGGGUGAAGAUGCAGAGCGGGCCAAUCAGAUCGCUCGGGAGGGCUGGAGGGGCGGAGCGCCGAUAGGCGGGGAGAAUGGCAAUUGAUGUGCGUAGGCAGCCAAUGAGGUUGCCGGAGGGGCGGGCGUUACGGACUCUGUACUGCGCAUGCCCAAGUUGCGAAGUCCUCCAUCAGGUCCGACGCUGAGGCGGGCACCUGGGGGCGGAGCGCGGGAAGGAACAUCCAAUAGGAGGACGGCGCGGCGGGGUGGAAAGCAGCCAAUCAGAGCGCGCCGUCUCAAUCCCGUUUGAACAGCUGCCUUCCUGGCAAGCGCGUCCGUGGGGUCCCGGGGCGGGUACCGGGAGUUAACGGGGAAACGGGGGUCGGGGCGAGGGAGGGGGGCUGUGGAGCGCUCAUUUUGGCCUCUCCGUCCCUUUUGCCUCUCUCUCCCUCUCUCUGUGUCACCUUGUCUUGCUCCCUGUCACUGUCUUUCUGUGAUAAGCUGACCUGCUCUUUGCCCUUCUUUUUUUGUGGAAUCACAGGCUCCUUCUGCUUGGAAAAGACACGUGCAAUUUUAAAUUUGGGUUUGAAUUCUAGGUUUUUUUUCCCCAUUAGUGUAAAUGGACGGCACAUUGUCCUGUGGCUCAGCCCCCGUUCUGUUCCAUGGAGCCUUCAGUUUAGGAUGUUCAGGUAAGAAAGUUUGUCCUUCCCAAAAAGGAGCACUCAUUGGUAGGACCGAGAGAGGCUUUUAAGUGCGUGAUCAGAAUUGAAGCCAAAUUGCACUUGACGUUGCUGCUGUGGGUCUUGGCUUUCACUGGUUUCCCCACGGCUCCCUGGUGUUUGGGAGCUCGGAGCGGGCACGUUUUUUCCCCAAGGAGAGGCUGUGCUUAAAAAAGAACGUGUUUCCUCAGAGAAGUGCAAGUCCGUGUGCGUAAGACAGACAAAAAGCCCAGCCAGCCUAGUCAAGUUCUGAGCGUGCGUCUGUCAGGCGGCUGCUUUACGUUGAGGAGCGCACAGCCGUGCAAUGGUAAGGGCGAAGGGCAACGCAAGACAGAAGGGUUUUUUCUACUGCGGGUAACCAGCCGCCCCCCUUUUCCGCGUGGAGCAGAGGAGCGCGGUUCGUUGUCGCCUUUUAAACGCGGCGGCGGCAAGGAAGGGCGUGAGGGGGGGGGUCCCGGCAGGGCGGUGAGCCGGCGGGUGAGGAUGCAGAGCGGGCCAAUCAGGUGGCGCGGGAGGGCUGGAGGAGCGGAGGGCUGGUUGGCUGCCUAGGCACGUCAGUUGCCAUUCUGACCGCCUUUCAGAUUGUCGGGGGGGCGGGCGUCGGGGCCUCAGUACUGCCCCAAAGAGAGAGCGCUGAUAGGCGGAGAGCUAUUGAUUGGCGUGCCGCCCGCAGCCAAUGAUGUUGCCGAAGAGGCGGGCGUUGCAGUGUCCCUACUGCGCAUGCCCCAGUCGCGAGCGCUGAUAGGCGGCGAGAGAGGUGAUUGACGUGUCCCGGGGAGCCAACCGGGAUGCGGCAAGGGGCGGGUGCUGCGGUCUCCCUAGUGCGCAUGCCCGCUCGCCCGGGGCUCCCGCGGCGCGUCUCAGUGCCGCCGUCCUGUGGGCAGAGCGCGGUACUGCACCCGGCCGCCCCAAUGCGGUGCCGCGGCGCGCCUCGGUGCUGCCACCCUGUGGCGAAACUCGGGUACUGCAGCGCAAGGCCGGGGGGCAGAGACGCUGUUUGACCCGCGGGGGUUCGCGGUCGGGUCUGUGCGUGUCAGUGUCCGUCCCCCCGACGGGGGUCAGGUCCCCAUUUGUGUGCAAACGACAUCCCUCCCUCGAUGGCUCCUUAGAAGGGUUAGUCCCAAUCCUCGUUCUUUUGGCAGCGGUGGAUCUGUGACCUCGCGGGAAGCCCAGGCUGCUGCACAGAGCUCGUCGGGAGCGGGAGCCGCGGAGGCGGGGGGCCUCGACGAGCCAGAGCUGCGGCAGACGGAGGGGGCGCACGCGCUGCCCGGGGGCGGCGUCCGGCAGAGCCGAAGUGACCUGCGGCGGCAACGAGCGGGAGCCGCUCGGAGCUGGAGCGGCCGUUGGCCGCGCCUUCCCUGGGGAGGUGAGCGCGGGGAGCCCGGCCUCUCUCUCCCUCGGGGAUUAAACCCACGCCCGUCCGCGCCCUUCCCAGGGGCAGCGGCGAGGCGGGUUCCCCUGGCUCUCCUGGGGCGGCCCCGCUGCCGGGGGGCGCGGGCGAGGAGGCGGCAGCGCCUCCUCGGUGCCGGGGGGCGGAGGGGAGAGAGACCUGCCGGCCAGAGCCGCGGGGCGCGUGGCCCCUCGGGCAGGGUGCUCCCGGUCUCUGGGCCGCAGGCCGGGGGCGGCAGACGGGUUCAGGUGCUCUGGCCUGCUUUUUAGCCAGCGUGGCCUUCUCCGCGCCGUGAAGAAAAUCCCGCGCGGUCGAUUCCGCUCGCCGCUCAGGAGAUGCCGCGUCUGGGGCCGUGGACUGGGGAAGAACGUUUGUGAGUUGGAGAGCGCUAGAAGAUAUUCCAUGGGGAAGCCGGAGAAGAGGCAAAUUGGCUGCCAGUGGAGUUGCGUUCCGUGCAGUCUUCUGUUUAGGACGUUCAGCUUGUCCUUCCAGAGAAGGAGCAGUCGUGGGUAGGGCCGAGAGAGGCUUUUAAGCGCGUGAUCGGAAUUGAAGCCAAAUUGCACUUGACGUUGCCGCUGUGGGUCUUGGCUUUCAGUGGUUUCCCCGCGGCUGCCUGGUGUUGGGGAGCUCGGAGCGGGCAUUUUUUUUCCCCAAGGAGAGGCUGUGCUUGAAAAAGAAUUUGCUUAAAGAAGACAGACGAGGCGGGUGAGGAUGCAGAGCGGGCCAAUCAGAUCGCUCGGGAGGGCUGGAGGGGCGGAGCGCUGAUAGGCGGGGAGCAUGGCAAUUGAUGUGCGUAGGCAGCCAAUGAGGUUGCUGGAGGGGCGGGCGUUACGGACUCCGUACUGCGCAUGCCCAAAUUGCGCAGUCUUCAGUCAGGUCCGACGCUGAGGCGGACACCUGGGGGCGGAGCGCGGGAAGGAACAUCCAAUAGGAGGACGGCGCGGCGGGGUGGAAAGCAGCCAAUCAGAGCGCGCCGUCUCAAUCCCGUUUGAACAGCUGCCUCCCUGGCAAACGCGUCCGUGGGGUCCCGGGGCGGGUACCGGGAGUUAACGGGGAAACGGGGGUCGGGGCGAGGCAGGGGAGGCUGUGGAGCGCUCAUUUUGGCCUCUCCGUCCCUUUUGCCUCUCUCUCCCUCUCUCUGUGUCUCCUUGUCUUGCUCCCUGUCACUGUCUUUCUCUGAUAAGCUGACCUGCUCUUUGCCCUUCUUUUUUUGUGGAAUCACAGGCUCCUUCUGCUUGGAAAAGACACGUGCAAUUUUAAAUUUGGGUUUGAAUUCUAGGUUUUUUUUCCCCAUUAGUGUAAAUGGACGGCACAUUGUCCUGUGGCUCAGCCCCCGUUCUGUUCCAUGGAGCCUUCAGUUUAGGAUGUUCAGAGAAGUGCAAGUCCGCGUGCGUAAGACAGACAAAAACCCCAGCCAGCCUAGUCAAGUUCUGAGCGUGCGUCUGUCAGGCGGCUGCUUUACGUUGAGGAGCGCACAGCCGUGCAAUGGUAAGGGCGAAGGGCAACGCAAGACAGAAGGGUUUUUUCUACUGCGGGUAACCAGCCGCCCCCCUUUUCCGCGUGAAGCAGAGGAGCGCGGUUCGUUGUCGCCUUUUAAACGCGGCGGCGGCAAGGAAGGGCGUGAGGGGGGGGGGUCCCGGAAGGGCGGUGAGCCGGCGGGUGAGGAUGCAGAGCGGGCCAAUCAGGUGGCGCGGGAGGGCUGGAGGAGCGGAGGGCUGGUUGGCUGCCUAGGCACGUCAGUUGCCAUUCUGUCUGCCUAUCAGAUUGCCGGAUGGGCGGGCGUCGAGGGCUGGGUACUGCGCAUGCCCUAAAGAGGGAGCGCUGAUAGGCGGAGAGUUAUUGAUUGGCGUGCCGCCCGCAGCCAAUGAUGUUGCCGAAGAGGCGGGCGUUGCAGUGUCCCUACUGCGCAUGCCCCAGUUGCGAGCGCUGAUAGUCGGAGAGGGAGGUGAUUGACGUGUCCCGGGGAGCCAACCGGGAUGCGGCAAGGGGCGGGUGCUGCGGUCUCCCUACUGCGCAUGCCCCAAUCGCGAGCUCUGAUAGGCGGUGAAAGAAGUGAUUGACGUGUCCCGGGAAGCCAACCGGGAUGCGGCAAGGGGCGGGUGCUGGGGUCUCCCUACUGCGCAUGCCCAAACCGCGAGCGGUGAUAGGUCCGCGGUGUCUCGGUGCCGGGGCCGGGGGGGGGGGGAGACCGGGAGCGAACGGGAACGGGGGUCGGGGCGGCUGCGGAGCGCUCGCUGCGGCCGGCGCCCGGGCAUCGGGAGGCGGGCGGCUCAGGGCCGCCCUUCGUGAGGUUCCCCGGAGGCGGCAGAAGGGCGGAGGGGAAGGAGGCGACAGCCGGGGACGUCCCGCCGCGGGGGUUUCCGGGGCGCGGCCGCUGUCGGUGCCCGCGGAGCCCUGCGGGACGGCGGGGGAGCGCGAGGGGAACGGAGCGGCGAAAGAAGCAGCAGUGGAUCUGUCUGGCAGUCGGUGGCCCACGGUUGCUCGGCAACAGCAGAAGCGGAUUGAAGGGACCGGCCGCUGGAGGAUGCCGAAGCCUCCCGGGUCAGCGAUGGGAGCAGCUUUGCGUAAAGCGAGGGGUACGUGAAGCCGGGCGUGCGGUGCCGACCGCCCAGCAGGUAAGGGAAGCUAAAGCUUUACCUCCAGCGACUUCUGCCCAGAAAGCUGAAGAAAUUGCUCUCGCGUGAGCUUUAGAGUUAGGCAAAGAGAAGAAGAUUAGUAGCUGCACUGAUUCUAAGCAGGUUUCUUGAAUGGUGCAGGCCCUUGAAGGCAUUUGAAAAGAAUAAAGUGUAUUAACGGCACAAGGGAGGCAGAUUAAACGUGAUGCUCCAGUUGCUGGAAGCUGUGCUGUUGCUAGGAGAGUUGCCGUCAUGCGUUGCAACGGGCCUCAGAAGGGAAACGCUGAUCAGGAAACUGGCAAUAAAUUGGCAGGCGCCGCUGUAAAACCAGCCACCGAAAGGACAGAGACCGGUACAGAAGCCGCGUCUCUGAGCCCAGGUGGCCGUGUCCUCCAGCCAACGUCAGGAAACUGUAACAAAGAGGGUAAGCAAUUAAUAGGAGAUCUAUAGCCCGAUCAGAAUUAGGGUCCAAAGGAGCUUUGUUUUCCUCAGGGAGCCCCCCGACUUUCGGGGGCUUGUGGGACGAGCGCCGUGAAGCCGCCCGUGUGGCCGAGCGUCCCGAUCGCGGCGCUGAGCGUUAGACAGACUUGAGCCGCGUGCCGAAAUUGUUUUGUUUUGGAGAGCGCGGGAUAAACUUGGAGCACAACUUGUGAGGGCGGUACGUCGUGGGCAGGUUUUAGUAUUGCCUGUGGAGUGCCGCUAGAAGCGUUCGUAGUUCUUGCUUGUCUCUGUUACAAGAUGAGCCGUGGCGUCCUGCGUGACGCGUAACGGGAGGACGGCGCGGUAGCGGUGCUCUGCAAAAGAGCCCGUUGGGGGUAUUUUAGCUCGCGGGAAAGGGAUUGGGGAACCACCUGGUGGUAAUGCGAGGAGAGCAGCCCUGGCGAAAUCUGAGGAGCAGAGGCCAUUGUAUAAAUUGGACAAGGAAGGAAAGGCUGCGGGCAAAGCGCGGUGCUGCACCCGGCCGCCCCAACGCGGAACUCUAAUGUGGAAUUCCUGUGUUUCAGAGGGGGAGCUGUGCAGGAGGAGAAAUUUCUCCCUGUCCGUUGCAGAGAAAACAGAACAAUCCCACAUCAAAGCUGUCCUAGAGAAGUACUUGCUGUUUGUCAUUCCGGUUCUAGAGCAGCCCCAUGUGCUGUUAAAGGUUGUGGUGGUGCGGGUCAGGGAUCCCCAGGCUGUGCCGAGACCGCAGGACGGCUGCUGGUAGAACAAAGUCAAGGACAACUUCUCAGACCUAUCCUGGUGUUUUCCAUCCUUCAGGACUUACUUAUUACUGUUGUGAGAGUCCGAGAGAAAAGGAGGAGUGUCUGUGACUUACAACCGUCAUUGUUGAUCUACAGUGUUUUAGAGACGGAUUCUUGCAGGAUCUAUUUCUGGUUCGUCCUUCACUCCUCCCCAGACCGCAGCGCUGGUCCGAGUUCCCCAGCACACGUGUGUGUGUCCAGCCGGGUACGCCGGGGGAGCGCGUCAGGGCGGGCAGACGGCUGAAUGGACGCGCUGUCAGCGACUGCGGAACGAGCUGGGGCUGCUUUGACCGUGUCCAGCCUUGUGCGUGUGGUUUGUUUUCACUUGCAGGCUGAAACAGCAGUUUCCUUAAUUAAAAACACCCCAACAUGUCCCCCGGCCCCCAACAAAAAUAACGCCAAAAAUGCCACUGAAAGAAACACAGGGAGUUUUUAAAAAAUUUCCUUUAGCUUUCUCCCCCCUCCACCCCUACCCUGCUGCGUUCAGUGCAGUGAAUGACCGUGAGGAGAUGGCUGUGGAUCUGGCUGUUGAAGGGUGUGUGAAGGAGAAGGAGGUGUGUGUAGAGCAGGAUUGGUGGUGGAGGUGAGUGCAGCUGGUUUGGGUGUGGGGCUGUAAAUUCUUUUUGGAGGCUUCCUAGUUUCUGGUGUCACCUGCGGGGUGAAGUGUGACUCUGUGCAGGUUUGAAAGGUGCAACGUGCAGAGCUCCCUCAUUUGCCACCAGAUCUCCCAAUCACAGAGACAGCGUCGCUGUGCAGCUGCUAAGGACAGCGCGUCUCGUGCAGAACAGCAUCCUUUGUGCUCCGUGUGCGUGUUCCUCCUUUGAAAUGAAGUUGGGCCGCCCGGUGUUCCACGUUAUGUGUGGUACCUGCUGGGCUGAGUCUCCUCCCCGCGCUCCGGUCGGUUCCGUCGCGCUGCCGCAGCCCCGGCAGCACCGCGGCGUUCGCUGGACGCGUUGUUGGCGGAGCCGGCACCGACAAUCUUGACACGUCGAGGUGCUGCGGUGGGUUUGCCUGGAAAUUCCAAGGUCCUGGUGUUCUAUUAUUUGAACUACUUACUUACUGUAAGACGUUUAGAAUUAAAACUUAAAUAAGAGCAACCAGAAGAGUCUUUGGGAGUGAAUAAUGCCUGUCAUCUACUCUAGUUGUUACUCAAAACUCUGCAGACAGUAAUUAUCCCCGAUUUAUGUAGUAAAAUUUAAAAGAGUGGAAUAUAAAUACUGGAGCGCUAAUUGGAAGUAAUACCUGUAGAGAAAAAAACCUCUAGUUUAUAUCUACAAUAAAAAAUAAUGUGUGCUAGUAAAUCCGCCUGGUAGUAAUGUAAUGAUAAAAAUGUUAAAGUGUAAAUAGAUGAAAUUAUAUAGGCAUGAGCAAGAAGUAAAUUUAAUUUCAGCUAUUACUUGGUGAACUAGGCAGCAGUUGUUCCCAAUCUGAAUGCUAGUUUAAAAAACACAUUGUUUGGAAUUCCUUUUAACUGAUAAAGGCAGAAAACUAAUGUGGAGUCAUUGGUAGCUUCAUUUGAACAACCGUUAUGAAAUAAACCGCAGACACGAAUGACUGCAUAGGAAACAAAGUGAGGAAGCUUUAGAUUUUAAACAGCAUUGGAAAGUGAUCAGGAGUGUUUAGUAUUUAAAUUAUAACAGAGCCACGAGAUUGGAGGCAACAAAGCUCAGAACCAAACAGAGUCAAAACGUUACAUUUCUUUUUUUAAAGAGAAGUAUAAAGGAACCACUAAGUAGUGGCUGUUUAUAAACAGAGGUAUUAAAAAGUUCCCAGGCAGUAAUGAUUCCCAACAGAACACUAAAAGAUAUUUAGAUGUAAAAUAAUAUUAGAAAACAGUUAUGACAGUCUGAAUUUAACCACAGCUUUUUUGGGGUUGUGCAAAAACAUGACCGCUAUUAAUUACCUCUGAGUUAAAAUAAAAAGACAUCAAACUAGAUGUGAUUAACAACA